GAGGAGGGUGAUUGAUGGGAGGAGGGUGAUUGAUGGGAGGAGGGUGAUGGGAGGAGGAUGCCUACCAGAGCAGGGCUACCAGAGGAGGGCAAUCUACUGGAGGAGGGCUAGUAAUGCUGGCUGUUAUCCUCUGUUAGGGAAGCAAAGACAUUUUCAGAUUCCCUUGUCCUCUGUCCCACCCCAGCAGAUUCUGCUUUUCCCGCUGAAAGAUCAUUUGGUUACCCAGAGAUGUGUGGAGAAGAAGGAAGCAGAACCUAUGUGGCUUUCACUAGAACCCCAGACUUCUUUGCUCGAGCUCCAUUGGGAACUCAGUACAUUUUUUUAAAAAUUUUAUUUAAAGUCUAACAGUCAUCUAAAACCCCAAGAAAUUUAAAGCCCUAAUGACGCCUUUUUUUUUUUAUUGUAGAAUAACGGCUCUUACUAAUGUGUGAUAGAGAUAUCUAUAGAACAACAGAUCCAUGAACCAAUAGAUAAAUCAAGGAUAGAUAUCAUCUGUUGUACAUUUUGUAAUUCUGGAAUCUUGGAAUCAGACCAGACAAUGUCACCCUCAUUUGCCACUGUCCUUGCUUUUUAUCACAGCAAGCAUUAACACCCCAGCUUUGCAGUGAUGUCACGACACAGCCCAGGAUUGUGACGCAACAUGACCUAAGGGGGAAACUGCCACCAUACCAGCGGUUUGUACGCACCCUUGAGUCCAACCACUUCUCUUGACAUUUUGAAAUAUGCCGUGACAUCAUUACCCCAAGUGAGCUUGCUUUGGCCUCUUGGGGAAUGAGUACACAGUUGGGAAACUUUGGGCUUAGAUUAAUCACGAUUCAUUAUCUGGGGCUGGACACAUUGUUUCUCAGAUAAGAAUUCAACUUUGUUGUGGUUCAGAAAAUAAUAUGAUCAAGUGUGGUGUUUGAACAGGCUGACGACAGGAGAUUAGAAGGUCUCAGGAACAAAGCCUCUCUGACCUUUCUCUCUCCUCCUGUCUCACCCACACAUCUCCUGCAAAGCGAGCCAGAGAAACCAGGAUUCUUUCCUAAAGUGAGUCAUAGACACCAGGACCCCUCAUUUCAGAGUCCCGCCCUAGGCCCUGGAGGAAGGAAUGUGACAAGCACAAAAAACGCAAGAGGACUAUGAACAGGGCCUUCAGACCCUUUUGUUCAAGUACACGUCAACACUGCUGAGAAUUCUUUCUGGAGUCCAAGCUAAAAACUGGGAGCUUAUGUUGGUUCGAUUGAGAAGUGCACCCUAUAGGCUCAUAUGCUUGAAUGCUUGGUCCCUGGUUGGUGGAACUGGAGAGGUGUUAGAAGAAGCUAGAGGAGACCAUUGGAUGCUCUGGAACUGGAGUUACAGGCAUUUGUGAGGACCGAUGUGGGUAUCAGGAAGCAAACUCAGGUCCUCUGCACAAGCAGUACCUGCUCUUAACUGCUGAUUUAUCAUCUCUCAAGCCCCAGCAAUCCAAUUUUAUUCUUUGUAAAUUAUACAUUUUCAAAAAUCCGUAUGGCCUUUGGAUAUUGAAAUAAAGCUCAUACUAUAGUAUCAUUUAGUAUUUUUUUUAAAAAGAAUUUUGUUUUGAAUUCUUCAAAUGAUAAUAUGGCGUGGUGGAAGUAUUUGAACAGGUUUGCCUGUGUCCAAAUCCCGCUUCUCUAACUUAUAAGCAGAGUGACCCUUGUCAAAUUAUUUUAUCCUAAAAUUGUGUGUGUCUAAUUUUCCUCCUUUGUGGAAAUAAGGUUGAUUAAAAUAAUGGUUGUAAUUUGCUAAUUAAUAGAUACAAAGGACUUAGAAUUAUUCUUAUGUUAAUUAAUGUAUUUUUAAUGAAUACUGUUGAGGGAAAAGAAUGUGUUAUGAUUUCUGGCUAAAUUCAGAUUAAACUUCACACAAAACCGGGUACUCUACAACUGAAUAAAAAGUUUAUUUCCCUAGUUACAGUGCAAGAGCAGGCUCAACCACAUGACCUUAACCUUUACUACAGACCAUCCUUCACUGAGCAGAAGAUGACUCUUAGGUCUCCAAUAAGCUCUUGCUUACUGUGAACUAAAUGUAUAAUUCACUUUAUUGCUGGUAAUGAACACUGGAGCAUGUUCAGAUUUGGUCUCUUCUUUAAAUUUGUCCUGCUUCUGUCAGUGCCCUGGGCAAGCUCAUGUUUUAUUUUGCGUUUGUCACCUGACAAAAAUGACAGCUGUGCCUUGUGGUGCUGUCCUCCAGCCCCAGUCCUUAGAAGCGGGAGAUGGGAGUCAUGACUGUCGGCUUGUUUGCAGCACAGCCGACCCUGUCUCAACAUGCACAGAAGGGAAGGAGGAAAAACACCCACAAAUGUCAAAAAUGCACACUAUAUUAAGAGCAUAGUUUGCCAAAGUUAUAAGACCUCAAACCCCCCGAUGUGCAGUCUUAUAGCCAUUUUCUCCAGAGGGCAAGUGAUCAGCUAACGUGUUUCAUAUCCUCCCUGCUGCCGUCUGUGAUGUGUGCGCAUGGUCACGUGUACACAAAUGUGCAUGCACAGGACUCCUCAGGAAAUUGAAAUAUCCCCUUCCUAGCAGCCAUCUGCUGUGUUUUCCUCUUGACAUUAUAUACAUGCUAGUUUACUGAUAUACCAAGUGAUAUACAUAUAUAUGCAUAUAUAUAUAUAAACAGACAUGUAUGACGCAUAUAAUCAUUUUUGUGUGAGUAUUCAGAAGAGUGUAAAACAUACACAGUUAUGUAUUUAAAUAUGAGUAUGAACUCCUCAUCUACUCCUCAGGUGAAAAUACCACUGGGACACUGGAGACUUUGUCUGCCUGUGAACACUUCCAAUAAAGUCCUAGCUUACAUCAGUAUCUGGAGACUUUGUCUGCCUGUGAACACUUCCAAUAAAGUCCUAGCUUACAUCAGUAUCUUCCAUUCCACACUCAAUUAUCGAUGGAUAAUUAAGUUACUCCUUAAGUUUUUUUGCUAUUAGCAACAGUGUCGCCAUGAGUUUCUUCUAUUUUAAGUUUUUAUUCCAUUUAUUUGUGUGUGUGUAGUGUGUGUGUGUGUGUGUGUGUGUGUGUGUGUGUGUGCGUGUGCACCUCCUCCUGCCAUGAUGUCUGUGCUGAGGUCAGGGGACAGUUUCCAGACCUGGGUCUUAUACCUGGAUCCCACUCAGUGAGGGGAGAACCAGCUCCCACAGGUUAUUCUCUCCUCUUCACACGCAAUGUGGGCGCACUCGCCGCCCCGAUAAAUAAAUUAAAAUGAAGACACUUAAAACAGGAAUGAGUGUUGAAUAAGCCAUUUUUCACCCUUGCGUUUUCCCACAGAACCCUGGCCUCUCGUAGAGGAGGUCAUUUGAAUCACUUGGGCCACUGAUUCUAAGCCUGCACCUGUCACUCUGGUUUCCAUUAGUGCGCUGCACCUGCACGCUAGGUCCCCUUCACCUCAUUUUCACCCUCAGUAGCAGAGGUGUCAAAUUCUUAAGACGCCUACUGUCCGUGGAGCUGCGUGUCCAGUUUUCCAGAGAGUGCAAUUAUUAUUUGAUUAAACAAAUUCUUCUGUGGAAACUACCUGUUUCUCAUAUAAGUGCAACUGGAGUUAAAUGUACUCCCCAAAAGUUAAAACAACCUUUUGUAGCAAAUAGUUUUGCAAGUAUUUCUAGUGUGUCUUGGCAUUUUAUGUUUGUAGAAUUUACUUAUUAGGAAAAAACUUUGGAUGUGUUAGAAAGACAGAGAAAGGACCAGUGAAACGGAUCAAUGGGUAAAGACACUCACCACCAAGCCAGAUAGAUGCACUGACUUUUCUCCCCCGAUCUUCCAUCUCAUGGCUUAUCUUCUCACCUCUAUGUAUGUGCCAUGAUAUGUGUGCUCCUGUACACAUACACACAUAUACAGACACACACAUAAAUGAAUAAAGGUAAAAUUUUUAAAGCUAGGGAAUUUUCAGUAAUCAGAUGAUUCAUUAAACAAUAUAUUUAAAACUCCUUACGACUAAUGUAAAUGAGUAACAUAUCCUUGCAGAAAGGAAAUGGCUCUUACCUCUGUUCUUACAAAGAAAAACCCCACACAUAGAAUUUUUGUUACAAAAAAGUGCUAAGUUAUAAUCAUAGUUGAUUAUUUAUGAUGACAUUUCAGCGGUGUGAAGAAUGUUACCACUGAUAGCCGAGAAAUUAAACAGAUACUUGAAAUUUUUAAUUUGACAUUUUUAAUUUGGGUUCAGUUAUUUUUUGAUUUGGUGUCUCUGAUUAAAAGUGUCAUGGAACAGGGAAAUCAGCUCUUCAGCCUAAGACUGGAACUGCUUCUUAGCCCCACAGCAGCUCCACCUUGGUGCUUUUGUUCCCCCCAUUUUGCGACAAACUUGCUAUUCGCCUUUGUUUUCCAGGCUGGUCUUGAACUUGCAGUUUUCCUACUUUUAAAAAUGUGUAUCAACCAAUACACUUACUGUAUUUAAACUUGUUUACCAUACAACUUAAACUUAUGCUCUCCGGUUUUCCUCCUUCUCUGAUUGUAUUGUGGGUAUGGAUUAGUUCAUUUGCAUGAAGGAGCUGGCUGCUGGCAAAGCUUGUUGCUGUGCUCAGCUCUUUCAAAGCCAAAAGAUUUUGAAAGAAGAUGGGCAUUCUCCAGCUUCCAAAUGUUGACUCUGGAUCUGUCAGCCUAAGUAAUAAUAGGCUGCCUGCUGCCUGAAAGGUCAGAGUCACAGACUGAUUAGAGCAUCGCAAUUAUGUGGAGAAAGAAACACUGGGUCAUCUGAAGCCAAGUUUGAGCUGGACUGUGUCCUGUGACCUACUUUGCUUAUAUUGGAUUUAUUUCAACAGAUGGAACACGUCUAAUGCU